ensembl:misc_RNA 7SK 7SK RNA
GCUUCAGGGUUGACUCUGGCUGCCAGGUGGUGUCCCCUUCCUGCCUCACCGCUGCAUUGAGUCCCUCCGGAAGCUGGGCGCUGGUGGGAGAGGACACCCACCGGGAUAGGGGAGCCCUGUCCUCAGCCAAGGGAGCCCAAGUAGCUGCGCUUCCCUGCUAGACCCUCCAAAAAGCUCUCAUACUCUCCUUGGAAGUUUCCUGUUGGAUCAGUAGUACCUAAGUGACCACACUUAAAUCUUCUUAGUUGACUCUACAUAAUU